rnacentral:rRNA from 1 species
AUUGAACGCUGGCGGAAUGCUUUACACAUGCAAGUCGAACGGCAGCACGGACUUCGGUCUGGUGGCGAGUGGCGAACGGGUGAGUAAUACAGCGCAACGUGCCCAGUCGUGGGGGAUAACGUAGCGAAAGCUACGCUAAUACCGCAUACGAUCUAAGGAUGAAAGCGGGGGAUCGCAAGACCGCGCGCGAUUCGAGCGGACGAUGGGAGAUUAGGUAGUUGGUGGGGUAAAGGCUAACCAAGCCGACGAUCUGUAGCUGGUCUGAGAGGACAACCAGCAACACUGGGACUGAGACACGGCCCGACCUCCUACGGGAGGCAGCAGUGGGGAAUUUUGGACAAUGGGCGCAAGCCUGACCCAGCCAUUCCGCGUGCAGGAUGAAGGCCCUCGGGUUGUAAACUGCUUUUGUACGGAACGAAAAGGCUCUGGUUAAUACCCGGGGGUCAUGACGGUACCGUAAGAAUAAGCACCGGCUAACUACGUGCCAGCAGCCGCCGUAA